rnacentral:lncRNA from 1 species
GAGCCAGUGCUAGAGGAUCAGGGAGGCGGUGCUAAAGCCCGCCCAGGCGCAACGGAGGCGGUGGCUCCUUCUCCUCUUAGUUCCUCUCCUGCCCGGCGCUCAGCGGAGCCAGGCGGCUGCAGCUCUCUCUGGCCGCUUGUAAGUCUCUCCGGUUGUUUGUAGCUGCUACGAAUCAGUUACCAGUCCGCUCUGGCCCCGGCCCCAAACGAUCUUCGGCUGCCGGUAGCGCCGCCCGGACCCCCGGCAAGGACUCUGCUCCGAGCUGCUAAACAGCAGGUGUGGAAACUGGGAGAUCUCAGGAAUAUCAGCACAAUUGCCUUCUGUUCUCUGCUCUAUCUCAGAGGUAACGACUCAAGCUCUUUCAUGUUUGACUGUUGGAGGUUUAUCCUGUGCAAGGAAACUGGAAGUAAUCAUUGCUCUUCACCCCUACCUCAGACUAAUGAGGUCAAAGAGGGAAGAAACUGAGCAUCAGAUUGAUGUGUCUGAUGUCAUCCGGCUUGUUCAAGAUAAACAGCAGGUGACAGUUCUACAACCAGCUUUUUUUCCUAUCCUGGGAAAACCACAUCAGACUGCUUUACUCUCUACACCAGAGGAGAACCAUCACAUUUUAAUUGUGAGAAUAAAUGUUGCUGGCUGGGAAAAAAAGAAUUGAAAGAAAGCAGAAUUGAAAGCCUGGAUCUGUCAAAAGCUACUUACUCUUCAGGGAAAAGAUGGAGUCACAUCCAGGAGGUUGUAUUCUGAGCCAUUCUUUUUAGUUGGAAAAACCAAUUCAGAGUUAAUUGAAGUACUUAAAGAAUGUUAGGGGGGGUGUGUGUGUUGUGUGUGUGUGUGUGGUGUGUGUUUUGUCC